GUAGAAAGGAAUUGAUAGAGACUGAGCCUGCUGUGAGGGACACAGCUGAAAGGAGAGUCUUCACAGAGAGUCAAGUGACUUUUAUUUUGUAUUUUGGCAGAGUUCAGUCAAAUAUCAGGCAAAAACCUGCAAACCGAAUUCUUUCAGGAACCGGACAGAUUCACAGACCGUUUCAUUGAUAUUUCACAGAUUGAUAAAUCUGACAUCAAUGGCCGACGAACAGCUGUCCUCUAUCUCCUCUACCUUCCACUUCUCCUUGGAGAGAAGCCCACCGAGUUUU